AGCGCCUGAAUUGGAGAUGCGCAGGCGCAAGUCUUCCGCGGGUAGGGGCAGUGAGAAUGAGGCGGAGGCGAGCAAAUAGCGGGUGAGGCACGGCGGUGUGGUAGCCGUGUUACGGAGCGCCAUUAAGGACAAGUUUGGUCACGUGAUUCUCAUAGGCUUCUCCUGGUUUGAACUGUAAGGAAGAAGUCCAGAAGGGAACGUUUCAUUGGACUAAUUCGAGGAAGGAUUGACUAUUUGGGAAACUGGAGAAGCUGAAGAAUAUAGCUGAAACAGGAUCUUUGCUGAGUUCCCCAAGAUGGGCAUGAACUUGGGAUCCUCCUGCCUCAUCCCCCAGAGAGCUGGGAUUACAAGAUAUUUCCCCACCUUAUGCGAAGAGUAUGUCACAUACAUGAUAAUAUAGAUAGCCCUGUUGCUGUGGAAUAUGGAAGGUAUGAUUUUCUAAUCUAGUUCUAACAAGACAUAUAUGUAAAAUAAAAUAAGAGCUGGGCAUGGUGGCGCACGCCAGUCCCAGCACUUGGGAGACUGAGGCAGGAAGAUUGCCUCAAGUUCAAGAAUAGCCUGGCUACAAGGUCAGUUUGGAAUAUAUAGUGAGACUCUGUCUCAGAAAUACAAAAAUUAAGAAUGUGUACACGGGUCAAACUAGUGUGCUACCAAAUAGAUUAAUGGUAUAUCACGAUAAUAGAAGGCAGUGCUGAGGAGCAAAAACGUGCUACCUCGCCUUAGAGUCCGGGUUGCUAUUGACAGUGCCAGGCUAAGCUCUAAGGAGGGUGAGUCGUGAUAGCCCCUUCUGGCUCAGAUGCCUCUUUUUAAAAGUAAGCAGUAAGAUUUCAGGAUCCCUAACUUUAUUAAUUUAAUUUUGGCAACACAUAUAACUGCUUCCAAUUGUUUCUGAACUCAAGUGCAGAGGAGUUGCCUCCAUAAUUCAGAAUAUCAUCAC